GUUUGUCAUAAUUUGGCUUUGUGAUGUGCAGGAGACAUCGAGAAGAUUGAGAUGAUUUUUAAGAAGAUCUACAGUAUGAAACAAUUUUUGUUACAGAUAUUAAGACACAAGAAUUUUAAUUCAAGAUCAUUUAAUUUUAGUUGCAUGUUUGUUUUAUUACAGAAAAGAACACUGAUCAACAUUAUAAUGUUUCAAAGUAAUUUGGCUUUGAACAACUUAUCUUUCAAAAUGAAUUGUGAAAACAGGUUUAUAACUUGGGUUCCUGAUUUCCCAUCUCAAUCUUCUCUUGUUCAAGUUGACCUUCAUUGUUUGUUUGAAAGUAUGAAAAGUUCAUAUGAAAAUCACAAAGUCUGUUCUACAUAUUAUUGGAGGUUUUUAAUAUUGAAUCUUGAAACAAGCAAUCUGGGAUCAGUUAAAAAAUACCCCAACAGUUGGCACUUUUAGAACUUUUAGAGCUUAAUAAAUUUAUUUACCCGACAAUUCUUAAUUGAUUAGUUGAACUUGCUUGUAAUGGCUAAUGCUUUCAUUGACUCGUGAUUCUGGUGCCAAAUGAAUGUGUGGUUUUGAAGAACAUGUUUGAACUUUGGAAUAAACUUUGUGAUUUUAAAUUAUAACUUCCAACUUUAAAACAAGCAGUUGAAGUCAGAAUUAGCUAGCGUAUAUUGUCUUCACUUCAUUACAAAGUGGAACUUGUUUGAGGACAGAUGAAUUGAAGCACCAAAACUUAACUCAAUUUUGGGGUAGUGUGCGAUGAUAAAACAAUAAAAUUGAUUGGCACAUGUACAUGCACAUGCACAUAGUGAAGUACACCACAAUCAGACAACAAAAUGAUGUUUUUUGGGAAAAAAAGAAAAAACAGUGAAAAUAUUCAAAAGUAUAUAAUUGUUUGGUG
rnacentral:lncRNA from 1 species